rnacentral:lncRNA from 1 species
AGAGAAAUUGGUGGUGCAAAGUACAUUGCCACUGGCAUCUUUGGUGGAAGGCCGGAUAUUAUAAUCUGGGUGUGCACACCAAAGUCCAACAACCAUCAAGGAAAUAACUUCCCGCUCUUCAAAUUCACCAUCAAGCCUUCCAUCAAUUGCAUUAAGUAUCUCAUUUCUUCCAUAAAGAUCCCAAACCCAUUGAACCAAACUGAUCCUGUCAUUAUCUUCCUUUGGCACAACGGGCCUCCUUCCACAAGCUAUCUCCAGUGCAAGAAUGCCAAAGCUGUAGACAUCAGUCUCUUUGCUUGCUUUCCCAGUAGUGACACACUCUGGAGCCAUGUAACCCAUGGUCCCAGCUAUCACUGUAGUUUGUGA